UUUAUGGUGGUAUCCAGAUCUCUUCCAGGAUCCAGUAUUUUAUAUUAACAACGUGAUGUACCUUAUGGUGCCUUUUUCUAUAGGCUAUUUUCUUUAUGAUCUUUAUGAUAUGAUGAUAAAUGAACAACUCAUUGACUGGGAAAUUGCAUUACACCAUAUACUUCUUAGUACCGUGAUGAUCUAUUCAUGGACUAACAAGUUGUGUAUUGCUUAUAGUGUAAUAUUACUUACAUCGGAAAUAAACAGUAUUUUUCUUCAUCUACGAAAACUUCUACAGUUCACAAGAGUUAACUUUAAUUCCUGGCUAUAUCAAUCAGUAGCAAUGCUGAACCUUUUUACGUUUAUAACGUGUCGUCUGUUUCCUCAGAGUCGUCUAAUGUUUGGAUUCUACACUGAUGGACAUCGUAUCUCAAGAAGUUAUUUUAUUCUUUUAUUGUCAACUUAUCCAAUUGGUUUUGUUAUAAAUAUAGUUUUAUUUUGGAGAAUACUUAAAUCAGAUGUAUUGAGACGACUAAAAGGUAAUGAUAAAUUACGAAAUAAGAUGGAAUAGAAAUGAUUUGUGCAAAUGGAGCACCCUCCACGUAAGGUAAUUAACAUUCUAGUUGCAGUGUGAUCUUGUAAUAAAAAUAGUCCGUAAAAAUAAUUUAUAAAGGUGUGUUUACACGGUACGAUUUUCCAUCCGAUUUGAUACCGCCUCCCAGGUAAAUCAUACAUCGUUCUAUUCACACGAUACCAUUUUUCAUUCGAUUAACCAAACGACAUCCAAUUUUAGUGUUCACACGGUGAGAGUUUUGUCGAAACAUGGAAGUAUUUUGACAUAUAAUACUUCCUUGGUCGAAACGACAUCGAUUGGAAAUCAGAUGGAAAAUCGUACCGUGUAAACUAAGCUUAAUUCAUUCUAGUCACAGUGUGAUCUUGUAAUAAUGAUAGUACGUAAACAUACUGUCACCGUGAGGUCUUGUAAUAAUGAUAUUACGUAAACAUACUAGUCUCAGUGUGGUCUUGUUUUUAUGAUAGUACGUAAACAUACUAGUCACAGUGUGGUCUUGUUUUUAUGAUAGUACGUAAACAUACUAGUCACAGUGUGGUCUUGUUUUUAUGAUAGUACGUAAACAUACUAGUCACAGUGUAGACUUGUUUUUAUGAUAGUACGUAAACAUACUAGUCUGAAUGUGGUCUUGUUUUUAUGAUAGUACGUAAACAUACUAGUCUGAGUGUGGUCUUGUAAUAAUGAUAGUACGUAAACAUACUAGUCUCAGUGUGGUCUUGUAAUAGUGAUAGUCCGUAAACCUAAUCAACUAAGUCAAUAUUUACCCAUCGAGGAAAAUAUGGUGAUUUGCAUUUAGAUAUACAUAUAAACAUUAUUUUAUUUGUUUGAUUUAUGAUGGAUUGUUUGAUUUUUGUUUAUGUUUUGCUUACAAAUAUAUAUAUAUAAGUAUACACUGUUUUGAAUUCCAGGACUCGAAACGAGACAUAAAAAAAAGAAGAAAUAUACGAACUGUACAAAACAAUCAUAAAGUUAUAAAGAAUUGACAUAUUUUUUUAGAAACCAAUCAUUUUUUAUGUACAUUUCAGUAAACUUUACAUCUUAAAACAAGUAUAUAUAUUUUCCAUUUUUUUUUUAUUUUAUUCCUAACUUGAUAAUGGUUGCUUUUAUUUUACUCUAAACAAUAAUUAGCAGAAAAAGCGGAAUUACUGCUUAAUAUGAAUUGAAGUUAAUAUUACUGUGUUGAGUUAUGCUGAGAGCGACAACGAACCUGAUUUCACUUACUUCUUUUGGGGAGAUCGUGCAAACAUUUUGAAUUUAAAAAAAGCUUGUCAGAUAUUCUGACACACACCACUGUUUAGCUUCUUGGAGAUGGAUUUUCAUCCACCAAUAUUAGUUUUGUGAUGGUUAAUGUCAGCAAUGGGCGGUCAUCUAACGAAAAUCUGCCGAAUGAAAACGAUUCAGCACCAGGAAUAUCGUGCUGAAUUUAUGACAUUCAUUGUCAAUUUACCGCAUUUGUUCUAGUAUCUCAGUAAACCAGUAAAUAAAUCCUUUUUUCUGUUCAAAUGUUUUAAUUUAAUUAUUUAAAAUUAGUUAUGUCGAAUCAAUCUAUUAAUAAUUACAUUGACAUUUCUGUAAAAUAAUAUGAACGCCACUUUUUAUGCCCCGCUGAAGCGGAGGGGGCAUUAAGUUUUACCCUUGUCCGUCCGUACGUCCGUCCAUACGUCCCAAAAUUGGUUUCCGUUCUCUAACUUGAGUUUGCCUCAACCAAAUGUUAUCAAACUUAUACACAAUGUUUAUUACCACAAAACACAGAUCAAGUUUGAAUUUUGGUGGCGUCACUUUAACCAUUCUAGAGUUAUGCCCCUUUAUAAAUGGAAAAAUUGCAAAAUUUUUCAUUUUCGUUCUCUAACUUAAGUUUGCCUCAUCUAAAUGUUUUGAAACUUGUACACAAUGCUUAUUACCACAAUACACAGAUCAAGAUUGAAUUUUGGGAGCGUCACUUUUACUGUUCUAGAGUUAUGCCCCUUUACAAAUGGAAAAAUUGCUAAAUUUUUCAUUCUUUUUUCCAAAAAUAUCAAUGUCAUUAUUCAAGUAAUUUUAAAAAUUGGAGUUAUCUUCCUUUGUCCAUGAUUAUAGUUAAAUCAGCUACAAUCAAUGCUUUAUACAAUGCAAUGUUUAAUUUUGCUUUCCACUGAUAAAACACAGAUCAAGUUGAAUUUGGGUAGUGUCACUUUAACCAUUAUUGAGUUAUGCCCCUUUAUAAAUCGAAAAAUUGCAAUAAUUUUAGUUUCCAUUCUGUUACUUAAGUUUGCCCCAACCAAACAUUAUGAAACCUAUACACAUAACUCAUUACCACAAAACUAAGAUCAAGUACAAAUAUUGUUUCCGUUCUCUAACUUUAGUUUGCCUCAACCAAAUGUUAUGAAACUUAUACACAAUGCUUAUUACUACAUAAUACAGAUUAAGUACGAAAUUCAGUGGCGUCACUUUUACCAUUCUUGAGUAAUGUCCCUUUAUAAACAUAAAAAUUGGUGAAUUUUUCGUUUCCGUUCCCUUACUUUAGUUUGUCUCAACCAAAUGUUAUAAAACUUAUAUACAACCGUUCUAGAGUUAUGCGUGUUUACAAAUAGAAAAAUUGCUGAAUUUUUUGUUUCUGUUCUCUACUUAAGUUAGCCUCAACCAAAUGUUAUGAGACUUACACACAAUGCUUAUUACCACAAAACUCAGAUCAAGUUCAAAUUUUGGUAGCGUCACUUUUACCGUUCUUCAGUUAUGUCCCUUUAUAACUAUAUGAUAUGCAAGCGGGGGCAUCGUCUGUGUCCACAUGUGGACACAAUCCACAUUUAUUUAUUUUAAUCCAAUCUGAUGUAUGUAUUUGCAGUUGUUGGUUGUCCUCUGAAGUCAAUUUAAUAUUUUCAUAGAUGUUUCUGAAAUUAAAGAGUUCACUUUACUUUAAUGGAAUAUUUCUAGUGUAAAAUUACUAAUUUCUGCAAAAUUGAUCUUUCAUUUUUGUCGAGUCUUCGACUUUUGUCGAAAAAGCGAGACAUAGCAAUCCUACAUUCCGUCGUCGGCGUCUUCGUCGUCGUCGUCGUCGUUGUCGUUGUCGUCGUCGGCGGCGUCCACAAAUAUUCACUCUGUGGUUAAGGUUUUUGAAAUUUUAAUAACUUUCUUAAACUAUCCUGGAUUUCUACCAAACUUGGACAGAAGCUUGUUUAUGAUCAUAAGAUAAUUUUCAAAAGUAAAUUUUGUAAAAAAAAAAUUCCUUUUUUCCGUAUUUUACUUAUAAAUGGACUUAGUUUUCUGCCAGGAAACAUUACAUUCACUCUCUGGUUAAAGUUUUUUAAAUUUUAAUAACUUUCUUAAACUAUCCUGGAUUUCUACGUAACUUGGAGAGAAGCUUGUUUAUGAUCAUAAGAUAGUAUCCAGAAGUAAAUUUUGUAAAAAAAAAAUCAUUUUUCCGUAUUUUACUUAUAAAUGGACUUAGUUAUUCUGCCAGUUAACAUUAUAUUCACUCUGUGGUUCAAGUUUUAACAACUUUCUUAAACUAUCUUGGAUUUGUACCAAACUUGGACAGAAGCUUGUUUAUGAUUAAAAGCUAAUAUCUAGAAGGAAAUUUUGUUAAAAUUUUGUUCCAUUUUUUCCGUAUUUUACUUAUAAAUGGACUUAGUUUUUCUUCCAGUUAACAUUACAUACAGUCUGCAGUUAAAGUUUUUAAAACAUUUAUUAGAUUCAUAAACUAUCAUGGAUUUCUACCAAACUUGGACAGAAGCUACUUACAAUCAAAAGAUAGUAUAGAGAGGAAUAUUUUUAUUAAUUUUUUCCUCAUUUUUGUUGAUCCUGCGAUUAACAGCAAAAGUAGGCGAGACACUGGGUUCCGCAGAACCCUUACAAUUAUUUUUUAAAACACGUCUGAAAUUAAAUUUAUUUAUGACGAUAACAUAUGUUACCAUAAACAUUGAAAUAAUUUAUAUCAAGAAAAUAAUACAAAUAUUUGCAGUUGUUGCAAAAUCAGAAACAAUCUCAUUAAAUAAAGCUUUUAGCGAAAUUGGGUUUUUUUUCACUAUUGUGUGUUUUCAUAUCCAUUUUUAGUUACAUAUUUUCUUUGCCAUCAAGAAACAGUUAUGGCAUAACUGUACUAUUUUUGAAUAGUUGCUAUUGUCAAUUGAGAUUUUGACGGUCGCAAAUGCAGUUUUACUGACGACGCGAGGCAGUAACACUGAUAUUUGUGAACAGUCAAAUUCCAGUAGACGGCGCGAGGUUUGCAAAAUAAAGCACUGUUUUUCAUAUUCUUAUGCAAUACUUGUAAAAUCUUCAAAAUAAAACAUUUGAAAUACUCACAGAAACCGUCCACUGCAGAAUUGACAGGCAGACGUAAUCCAAUUAAAAAUAGCCUUUCAUAUCAUGUUGCAUUAGAAUGAAUCCGAUAUAUUUUAAAGUAACAAAGUGAAUUAAUUAGACCACUUUCUUUUUGUAUUGUAAAAUAAAGUAGAAGAUUCAAGAUGGUUGCAAUUUUGCAAGGACAUGGAAGUUUGUAUAUAGGAAUGUAACUCUGCCUGGAAUUAUUUAUUUCGUUCUAGAGAUUCGAUCUCAUGGUUGUUCGGGAAUGUUCCCGCCGGAGGUCUUUGUAAGCGAGUUCUAUGAUGAAUAUUUUUUAGCUUGGUUGUAUAAACAUAUUUUAUUUGCCCGACUAGCAAUAUGGAUUGGACACAAGUUUUAACAACAUCAGUAGGGACGUCCUCUCCCAAUACAAAUAUAAGUACAAAAACAUUUAUCCAUCUCGAAAGCAUGAUAAAGCUGCACAUAUUUCGCAAACUACGAGGGAAAUGGUGCAAUAUAAUAUGAAAUAUAAGAUAAGACUAGUCUGGACUGGAGUGGGAUGUGUUUUUAUAUGUCUAAAUCAUUGUGUCUCCUUAUAUAUAUUUGUGCAGAUUUUUUAUACUUAACUGUGUUAAUUGGAAUUACUUAAUGUUGCGCUGUUUUUUUACAUCAAUGAUUGUUGUAUAUUUAUUGACACUAUUAUAAACAACUAAUGUGUAUGUGUAUAUUCCGAAAUAACUCUUGAUAUAAAAAAAGUUUGGAAUUCACAUAACUUGAUUAUUUAACGUAUUCUAUUUGUAAAAUAUUUGUUUCCUAAAAUAGGUUUUAUGAUUAAAAUUUAGAAACUUCA